CAACCAUCAAGCCCCAGGCUUGUGUUGGGGACCUGCGGCUGCCGCAGGCCCUGAAAACCAGUGGCGGGCUCGCUGUCACACCGGGCGUAGUAGAUUUUAUCUCGCUCAGGGCGUGCUGCGGGUUCCGGCCGUUAAAAGCCUUUUUUACCCAA
rnacentral:misc_RNA from 1 species